UUGUGCAUUUCUCUCUCAGCGUAAUCUUAAGGAAGCAGCACAUUUAUCCUGGGAAAGAGUCAUAAGCCUUGAAUUAGGGAUAUACAUUUGAAUGAGCUGGUGGGGUGGGGAGAGGGAGGGAGGGAGGGAGGGGAAGGGGAUGGAGAAAGCCAUGGACAGAUAGCUUUUCAACCCCAGAAUCAUGCUGGUCCUCCAUUCUGCCUCUGCUGGAGAUGGCUGAAGAUGGGUCUAUGACAACCCGCCACAGGACAGGACAGGAAUUGCACUAAUAGAGAGAAAUAGCCCAAUAGAAUCCUUAAAGAAAGAAUGCUAAAGGAGGAGGGACAAAAUAAAAUGUGAAUGACAACCAUUAAAAUAAUUUUUAAAAUGAUUUUAAAUAAGUAAAUUGAAUUCUUGAAUACUCUCGCAGCAAAUUAUCCCUAGGCAAGUUGUCCCUGGCGAGUUGGCGGUGGAGAUUUGGCCCUGGCGAACUGUCCCCAUUCAGCCUGAAGAUCUCCCGUCAAGGAGCCCAGGCUGGAAAACCUACCCUCCUCCCCAUUGUGAACCCACAUAUGGAUUGCUGGUUGUGUUUUAGGAGCUAGGCUUGGUUCACAGGUCACAGGAGUUCAGCUGGAGUUUGAUGCAAUUUGUCCUUUUCUUAGCUCUUUCAGCAGUUCCUGAAGAGUCUACCACGGCCAACCAUCCUUGUCUUCUUCUCACAAUACCAAACCCAGAUGCUCCAUCUUCAGAAAGACAUCAGAGACCCAUUCCCUGCAACAAGGGAUUCGAACUCUACACCUUGGUUGCAUCCAGAUUUUCUGGGCUCCUUUCUUGAUGGAAUCAAUUCGAGCAGCCCCAUUAUUGGGAAAAAAAGAUAAUAAUCUGGGGAUUGUUCCCCUAUGAUUGAGGGAUCUGCAUGAACGUCUAAAGGGAAGGCGAGGAACAAAGAGGUUUCAGAAUCACUCAAACAUUUUCAACAUCCCCUCUUCUAAUUGGUAAUUUUGUAAUAUUUAUUCACAACAGAUCUGAUUGCCAGAUUCCCACUGGCUCCCCUCAGGAGGUUUUGCGUGAAAUCCAUUCGAAAUGGCAUGUCAGGGUCUCCCUAGCUCCCCCCUCCUUUUUUGAAGUCACCAUCUGGCUGAUAGACUUGAGUCUGUUCUAAUACACUGACCCAGUGAAUGUCUGUUAAACAAUUCCCUUGAGUUUAUAGUCCUCUUACAGGCAAGCCAUCUAGGGAAAUAUGAAGGAAGAAACACACAGAGAUAUCCUCAGAACAACCCGUCUUUUAAUUCUUUUUUCUUUUUUUUAAGCACAUUACGCUGAUGGCUUGUAAAAGGAUUUGAUUUACAGAGAAUAUUAUUUGGGACAAUCACGGGGUGUUCCUCUUCUACUUUGGCUGACUUAGCUUGGGCAGAGAAAAGCUAGCUUUUAAUAAGGCAGGAGCUUCUCCGGCAACCGUGCCAGAUUCGCCCCCCAAAUUUCUGCAAGUCCUUAAAAAUAAUCAAAUUAUAUCCAUUGAGAAGGAGAGGAUAAUUAGCGCGGCUUUUCUGGAAUGACCGUAAGACUGGAGAAACAACUUAGCCACAUAGCGUGGUUUGAUGUUUAAAAUUCUGGAUAAUGUUUAAGCAGCUCCACUAUUCUUCUCUCUUCUCCAAACAGCAAACCUUAAGUUAAACUUAGCUGUCUGAUCUAAUUUAGCAAACCUUUGGCUCCCUCAGCCACAGACACCAAUCCAGCAGGAAUUUUACACUUCCUGCAAUCUUAACCCCAUCCAAGGCAUUUGGCCUCGAAGCGAUCAAAUUAAAAAUUGCAGAUUAGCGUUCAAACAAAAUCAGCUCCUCCUGCCUUUAAAAAAAAAAAAGAAAGACAUGGAUGGGAAAAUUUAGCAUAGGGUAACUCUGACAUUUCUCUUACCCCAGAAAAGAACAGGGAAAAAAUAUGCAGAUACUCCAGAAUGUAUAAAGCCAGAGAAAGAGAGAGGAUUGGGUUUCUAAUUUGCCAUGAUUGUUAAAACAGGCAUUGUCUGAUUUUGUAAUUUAAGAGGUUUGGCUCCCUCCUUCUUCAUCAGUUGCUCUUUUAGCCUCUUUAUUAAACCUCCUUGCAUUUUGCCAACA